UUUGCUCCGUCGUUUUUUGGGUGUAGACAAUAUUAUUUAAGAUGCCUUGCUUGCAUUUGACUGUAUGUAUAGGAUAGAGAGUUUUGUCCCUUGUUUGAUUCUUGAGUUUUGACUGUAUGUAUAAACUCGUUACACUGCCAACCACCAACAUAUAUAAACUCAUGACACUGUAUUUUGGGUUUGAAUUUGGGGUUAGAGAUAUAGUUUGUAUUAAGGUGGGGGUUCAAAGAGAAAAUGGAGGGGUUUCAUUUUGUUGGAUGGGGGUUCAAAGAAGUGGGGGGGCCAAAGUAAAAUGGUGGGGGCAAAUAGCAGCCCUCAUAAUUUAAGAUGUCAAAUAUGGAAUGCCUUAAAACUCACAUUAGCAUUUCAUCACAGAAAUAUGGAUUUCAACAUAUAACUUACAAAAAAGCAAAAAGAAAAAAAAGGCUUUCAAUAUAUGAAAGCAAGAAGAAUGUUUUCAUAGCUAGGAGCAAGACUAAAGUGAGUGAAAUUUAGGUAAAAAUGAAGGAGCAUAGAUCCUAUUGGCUGAAAGCUAUCUUUGACAUAUCGAGUGUCUAAAUGUAAUCAUCCUUACUGCAACAAAUGUUACCGAGCUGGACGGGCAAUGGGAUUGUCUGAUUGAAUUAACAAGUUCUAGUGGCCUUCUAGCAUUGGCGGAACCGUUUGUAUCUAAGCGCUUGAGAACCACUCAGUCAGAUGUAGAAACUGCUCAACCUCUAUCAAAACUGUGUCUUGAAUUCCCAGAUCUUUACAUAGGUUGCUAUCGUGAAUCCAGAACUGGUCCCCUUGUUAUUAGUUUUGAAGGCAAGACCUUCUUCCCAUGAUUGGCUGCCGGAUCAAUCAAGAGUAGAAGCAGCUGCGGAAGCACUUUGCAAGAAGUUUCAUCCUGGG